GGGGAAUAUUGGGCAAUGGGCGCAAGCCUGACCCAGCAACGCCGCGUGAAGGAUGAAGGCUUUCGGGUUGUAAACUUCUUUGAUCGGGGACGAAAUUGACGGUACCCGAGGAACAAGCCACGGCUAACUACGUGCCAGCAGCCGCGGUAAUACGUAGGUGGCGAGCGUUAUCCGGAAUUACUGGGCGUAAAGGGCGCGUAGGCGGGAAAACAAGUCAGGAGUGAAAUCCCAGGGCUUAACUCUGGAGCUGCUUCUGAAACUGUUUUUCUUGAGUGUCGGAGAGGAAAGUGGAAUUCCCAGUGUAGCGGUGAAAUGCGUAGAGAUUGGGAGGAACACCAGUGGCGAAGGCGGCUUUCUGGACGAUAACUGACGCUGAGGCGCGAAAGCGUGGGGAGCAAAC
rnacentral:rRNA from 1 species